CGAACGGGUGAGUAAUGCGUGACCAACCUGCCCCAUGCUCCAGAAUAGCUCUUGGAAACGGGUGGUAAUGCUGGAUGCUCCAACUUGACGCAUGUCUUGUUGGAAAGUGUUUAGUGGCAUGGGAUGGGGUCGCGUCCUAUCAGCUUGUAGGCGGGGUAAUGGCCCACCUAGGCUUCGACGGGUAGCCGGCCUGAGAGGGCGGACGGCCACAUUGGGACUGAGAUACGGCCCAGACUCCUACGGGAGGCAGCAGGG
rnacentral:rRNA from 1 species